GACGGAGGAUGCAAGUGUUAUCCGGAAUCACUGGGCGUAAAGCGUCUGUAGGUGGUCAAAUAAGUCAACUGUUAAAUCUUGAGGCCCAACCUCAAAAUCGCAGUCGAAACUAUUAGACUAGAGUAUAGUAGGGGUAAAGGGAAUUUCCAGUGGAGCGGUGAAAUGCGUAGAGAUUGGAAAGAACACCGAUGGCGAAGGCACUUUACUGGGCUAUUACUAACACUCAGAGACGAAAGCUAGGGUAGCAAAUGGG
rnacentral:rRNA from 1 species